GAGGUAUGAGCCAUCAUCAGGAAUAACGACGUCAAAGUAGUUCCUCUGGAACAUCCAAGGUCCUCAAUAUUAAGAUCUUCAUCAGUGAUGGAAAUUGUCAGAUAUGGGCCAUCAUCAGGAACAACGGCGUCAAAGUAGAUCCUCUGGAACAUCCAAGGUCCUCAAUAUUAAGAUCUUCAUCAGUGAUGGAAAUUAUCAGAUAUGAGCCAUCAUCAGGAACAAUGACAUCAAAAUAGAUCCUCCGGAACAUCCAAGGUCCUCAAUAUUAGGAUCGCCAUCAAUGAACAAUAUCAG